AGUGAACGCUGGCGGUAGGCCUAACACAUGCAAGUCGAACGGCAGCACAGUAAGAGCUUGCUCUUACGGGUGGCGAGUGGCGGACGGGUGAGGAAUACAUCGGAAUCUACUUUUUCGUGGGGGAUAACGUAGGGAAACUUACGCUAAUACCGCAUACGACCUACGGGUGAAAGCAGGGGAUCUUCGGACCUUGCGCGAUUGAAUGAGCCGAUGUCGGAUUAGCUAGUUGGCGGGGUAAAGGCCCACCAAGGCGACGAUCCGUAGCUGGUCUGAGAGGAUGAUCAGCCACACUGGAACUGAGCCACGGUCCAGACUCCUACGGGAGGCAGCAGUGGGGAAUAUUGGACAAUGGGCGCAAGCCUGAUCCAGCCAUACCGCGUGGGUGACGAAGGCCUUCGGGUUGUAAAGCCCUUUUGUUGGGAAAGAAAAGCAGCAGGUUAAUACCCCGCUGUUCUGACGGUACCCAAAGAAUAAGCACCGGCUAACUUCGUG
rnacentral:rRNA from 1 species